rnacentral:rRNA from 1 species
GGGUUGUGAGGUUAAGCGACUAAGCGUACACGGUGGAUGCCCUGGCAGUCAGAGGCGAUGAAGGACGUGCUAAUCUGCGAUAAGCGUCGGUAAGGUGAUAUUAACCGUUAUAAC